rnacentral:rRNA from 1 species
AGGGUUCGAUUCUGGCUCAGGAUGAACGCUGGCGGCGUGCUUAACACAUGCAAGUCGAACGGGAUCCACCGGGCUUUGCUUGGUGGUGAGAGUGGCGAACGGGUGAGUAAUGCGUGACCGACCUGCCCCAUACACCGGAAUAGCUCCUGGAAACGGGUGGUAAUGCCGGAUGCUCCAGUUGAUCGCAUGGUCUUCUGGGAAAGCUUUCGCGGUAUGGGAUGGGGUCGCGUCCUAUCAGCUUGACGGCGGGGUAACGGCCCACCGUGGCUUCGACGGGUAGCCGGCCUGAGAGGGCGACCGGCCACAUUGGGACUGAGAUACGGCCCAGACUCCUACGGGAGGCAGCAGUGGGGAAUAUUGCACAAUGGGCGCAAGCCUGAUGCAGCGACGCCGCGUGAGGGAUGGAGGCCUUCGGGUUGUAAACCUCUUUUAUCGGGGAGCAAGCGAGAGUGAGUUUACCCGUUGAAUAAGCACCGGCUAACUACGUGCCAGCAGCCGCGGUAAUACGUAGGGUGCAAGCGUUAUCCGGAAUUAUUGGGCGUAAAGGGCUCGUAGGCGGUUCGUCGCGUCCGGUGUGAAAGUCCAUCGCUUAACGGUGGAUCCGCGCCGGGUACGGGCGGGCUGGAGUGCGGUAGGGGAGACUGGAAUUCCCGGUGUAACGGUGGAAUGUGUAGAUAUCGGGAAGAACACCAAUGGCGAAGGCAGGUCUCUGGGCCGUUACUGACGCUGAGGAGCGAAAGCGUGGGGAGCGAACAGGAUUAGAUACCCUGGUAGUCCACGCCGUAAACGGUGGAUGCUGGAUGU